rnacentral:lncRNA from 1 species
CUUUGGGGAGUGACUGGAUCACAGGGAUCGAACUCAGGACCCCGCACUUGCAAGGGAGACGGUGGAACCACUGAGCCAAACCCCUGGCCCUAUUGCCCAUUUUUUGGAUGGAGCCUUCUAUUUUGGGGAAACUUUAAUUUUUUUAAUCCUUUAUAUUUUAGUCCUCUGAGGAGUAGCUGGUAAAAAUUUUUGGCCUUCUGUAGGUUGUUACCUCACUCUGUUGGUUGUUUCCAAGAUAUGAGAAGUUUUAAAAUUUAAUAUAGUCCCAUUUGUUGAUUGUUGGUAUUAUUUCUUGUGCAAUUCUGUUCUGUUCAGAAAGACCUUGCCUAUACAUAUGCCUUCAAGAGUUUUACAUAUUUUAUCUCCCAGAAGAUCCAAUGUUUCUGUUUCUAUAAUAGUUCUUUGGUCCAUUUUGAUUUGAUUUUAGUACAGGGUGAGAUAUAUGGGUCUAGAUUCACUCUUCUGCAUGUGGCAAAGCAUUUUUCCCGGCACCAUUUGCUAGAGAGGAUAUAUGUUCCCCAACGCAUGUUUUGACCCCUGUGUCAAAGAUCAGAUGCCUACCAGCUGCCAGUGUACCAGCGCAAGAGCCUGCAACAACAGCUCCCCCCUGCCCCCGCCCUGCCUCUGGCCUCCUGACUGUGCUACUACCCGGUUCCACACUACAGAGGCACAGGGGGACAUAAAGGCCAUUGUCCUGAGCUGCAGAAGUGAACAACAGAGAGAGGGCCUCUCUCAGGCUCCCUGAUGAAAACUGAAGCCCACUGGAAAAGUGAAGAGAAUCUCUGCAAUAAAGGCAAACCAGACCACCAUACUUGGUAAGUUGGAGGGAUCAUCACCUCCCAUUGGCACCUGGACUAUCUUCAGGGGAAGGGCAGAUGGAACCUGCAAUGGAACCUUGCAGAGUUCAACCCUGCAGGAGGACAGGGAGCUCACCUUGGGACUUGCAGCCAGAAAUCUGCCUGAAUCCCAUGGGUCUGUGACUGGCUUACUGAGACUCGUUGACUUGUAACUGCACACUGCUGCCCAUGUUGUCUAUUGUGACAGCAGAGACAUACCGUGAAGGAGGCCCUUCAUUUUUAUCUUUUAUUUGUUAUUUUCAAUAUUACCAC